AACCCCUCAGCCUCAAAAACACUCAGCUCAGAAAAGAGCAGAUUCUUUUCUGAGCACUACAAGGAAGAAUUACAAGUCAAAAUACAACCAUUAACUGAGCAUUUCCAAGGUCAUAAACACAAUGGCUGGAGCUUCAACAAUCAUGUGACCACUUGAGGAUGGAAAUCAAUGUUGGGAAUGUUGGAAAAAAAAGGAGGGUGGACUUGAACUGCCUUUGUAGCCCAUGUUGGCCUCAAACUCACGGUGAUCCUCCUGCACCACCACACCUGAUGCUGUGUGCUGAAGCCAUGAUGACCUUUCCCCACCAAGCCCAAUAUCUCCCUUCCCUUCACCCUAUACUUUUUCUCAAGCUCAAAUACA
rnacentral:lncRNA from 1 species